CUUUUAUCUUUUAUUUAUAGUGAUCUUCAUAUUCAUUUCUCAACUGAGGCAGGAAAAGCAAGAGUUUGAGAUCAUGGAUUUUUUUUAACCUGCUGAAGAGAGAAUCAGACUUUGUCACCCAGUAGGUGAUGUGGUUUUAAAUAAAAUCUGCAUCCCACUAUUUUUUUAAAGUGCAUUUGUCUUCAAGAGAUGGAGCUUGACUUGACUCUUUCAUGUAGCUGACUUCUGAUAAUUAACAGGAGAAACAUGGAUAAUGCCCUCUGUGAAGCUCCAGAAUCAGAGAUACUCUGAAAAUGAUAUCUGUCAAAUGUUAUUGUCAUGCUGCACAUAGAUCUCUGGUCUUGAGUCAGCUGAUGCGGCAGCAGGGACAAGUCAUUGAUCUUCCAAUUUAUCCGCUACUCUUACAUAUCCUGAGGUUGAGGCAGCCUGGGGAGAUUGAUGGAGCCCUGAUAC
ensembl:lncRNA